AGAACGAACGCUGGCGGCAUGCCUAACACAUGCAAGUCGAACGCUCUCUUCGGAGGGAGUGGCGCACGGGUGAGUAACGCGUGGGAACCUGCCUUGGAGUGGGGGAUAACCGAUGGAAACGUCGGCUAAUACCGCAUACGUCCUGAGGGAGAAAGAUUUAUCGCUCUGAGAGGGGCCCGCGUCGGAUUAGCUAGUUGGUGGGGUAACGGCCUACCAAGGCGAUGAUCCGUAGUUGGUCUGAGAGGAUGAUCAGCCACACUGGGACUGAGACACGGCCCAGACUCCUACGGGAGGCAGCAGUGGGGAAUAUUGGACAAUGGGCGCAAGCCUGAUCCAGCAAUGCCGCGUGAGUGAUGACGGCCUUAGGGUUGUAAAGCUCUUUCGGCGGGACGAUGAUGACGGUACCGCAGAAGAAGCCCGGCUAACUUCGUGCCAGCAGCCGC
rnacentral:rRNA from 1 species